CCCUCCUACAAAGGCAUAUCUAUGGGUCUCUGUCUUUGGGUACAUAAGAAUCGGAGGUAAAGAAAAGUGGACCUGGGGAAAUUUAAGGCUAACUUGCUCCCUGCUGUUCCAAGAUCAACAGACCCACAUUG